ACAGCUCGAAAGCUGAGAGGCUCACCACACACAGGAUGCGUCUUUGCACGCAUCUUCUCUCGUGAGCGGGUUAAGGUCUGAGUAUUCUAAUCUCCCUCGAUCGACUCUAGCCGGGUCCUGUCCUAACGGGCAGCGCGACGUACCAGAAAAGCAGUGGCGAGUCGUCUACGCUUCACGAUCACAUUUAUGUGGGAGAGCGACGGCAAUUGCUCACUUUGAAAGGCGUCGUGGGGAUCGGGUGGUUUUACUCCCAUCAAAUGUGGAUUCCUAGUCACUCAACCGCGGUUGUCGUGCCAUCUCAAGCGAGUUGGCACACCAAUGUAGUAACGCCACCCUGCUUCACCGCUGGAACGGCAUUGACACUAUCACAGUGUCUCCACUUGCCUUGUCAUCCAGUCGGACGGUCUUCACGGCCGUGCAUGCUUUCACAGCACUUCACGGCGUUUCCACACGCCUUGUCCAAUCGCGGACAUCGGACGGUCAUCACGACCACUGCAUUAGUUUCACGAACGCUUUUCGUGCGCCGUAUGGCGAGUGACAACGGAUUCCAUAAUUUGUUCGGGUUGAAUGAUCCUACCCUUGAGUGCACUUCGUAGCUCGCGGGUUACACCUGCGAAACUCGAUUCAGACUACUCUCGGGCUGU
rnacentral:RNase_P_RNA from 2 species